CGUUCUUAGUUCGUGGAGUGAUCUGUCUGCUUAAUUGCGUUUCAAAUAUAUUUUAUUAUAUAACGAGUCUACAAAGGAGUGGUUCAUUAACAGACAAUCAUAUCUUUGAGCGUCUGGAAUCUACUCUAUUUGGCUCAAUUGAACGCAACGGACGUGAUCGCGAGUCCUUGUUGAACUUCAGUAUAUAUUGACUAUCCCCGUAGGAAGGGAUUGGCAAUAAUUGAAUGUUCGCUUUCUAUUAGGUGUGUAUAUAUAGUCUCAAAAUUGCAUGUAUUUGUAAUGGCGAGUAAUAUGUACUAUCCUAUAGGAAAACUCGGGCGACCGCUGUAAUAUUUCUCUUUAAAACAGAGGAAGAUUGCGGCAAUAACAGGUCUGUGAUGCCCUCAGAUGUCCCGGGCCGCACACGUGCUACAUUGAUUAGCGCAGUGCGCAUACUUUCAAUAUGAUACAUUAGAUUGGAUUGUUCUGUUGAGCUCCAUCUAAUACUAUCCGGCUUGAGAAGGCUGGGUAAUCAAUUGUAAGUGCUGGUUCCUCCUCCCGUUGAGCAUUUUAAUAAUGGCCUCUCUACAUCCCUAGCAAUAUGCCUAGUGCGAUUGUAGUUGAGCCUUGCCAUUUAUGCAAGUGUCA
rnacentral:rRNA from 1 species